AUCAUUACGUAAUCCCCUUAAAGAAUUAAGAUGUUUUUGUAAGCCUGAUUGGAGCCCUUUAUACUCAUGUUUUGAUAGAACAUACUUUUUAAUGAGUUUGAGAUCAUCCUGUUUAUUUUAAACUAAUGCAGCUUAACUGAAUCUACAUUCUAUGCCCCACUAUGCUAUACGUGUUUAUAACUUACCCCUACACACCCACACUCACAUCCUAGGCCCCUCUUUACACUAUCAUUUAAUUUAAUCCUAUCUCUUACCUAUUAACAAUUAUUACCCCUUUUUAUUUCUCUUUUCCCUUCAUAAACUCGGCUUUUACUAUUUUAUUUCGUUUAUCUGUUUUUAAACGUUUUUAUUCAAAAUUCCACUUAGGUUAACGCCCCAGCAUUUACAUUUUUUUGGGUACGGUGAUUUAUUCCUUAUUAUAAACUUAUUAAUUAUUAUCUUAUAUCCCACCUACCCUGUCGGCGACAUUGGCUACAGUCAGAAGCCGACGUUAAACCUCAAACCAUCAUCAUCAUCCUGUUUAUUUUAAAUGAGUUUGAGAUCUUCUGCUUAAGAUAAAGGCUUCUAUAGUACAUUUGUAUAUUAUAGUUUUUGUCAAAAAUGCAACUUCACCAUACAUCAUGGAAGUGAUAUGGAACAACAAGGGUGGUUCGAAGUUGCUAUAUCAGGGUUAUUCGUAAAUAAAGAAGAAAGAAAGCAAAUCAACAAUUAGGUGGGAGUAUUCCCACUAUUUAUAGGCAUAUUUUUAUGCCUUUCAUUGUCUGAAACAAACAGUAUUACAGUGUUGGGUUUAGUAUUACAGUGUUGGGUUUAGUGUUAUAUGUUGGGUUUAGUGUUACAUUGUUGGGUUUAGUGUUAUAUGUUGGGUUUAGUGUUACAUUGUUGGGUUUAGUGUUACAUUGUUGGGUUUGUUAUCAUAAUGUUGGUUUUUGUGUUACGGUAACAGUGUUGCAUUUAGUGUUGCUUUAGUUUUCCAUUAACGACCUUUCCUUUAGUGUUAAAGUGUUCAGUUUAGUGUACUGUAAUCAGGGUUUAGUAUUAUAGUGUUAAGUUUAGUGUACUGUAAUCAGGGUUUAGUAUUAUAGUGUUAAGUGUAGUGUAUUGUAAUCAGGGUUUAGUAUUAUAGUGUUAAGUUUAGUGUACUGUAAUCAGGGUUUAGUAUUACAGUGUUAAGUUUAGUGUACUGUAAUCAGGGUUUAGUAUUGCAGUGUUAAGUUUAGUUUACUGUAAUCAGGGAUUAGUAUUAUAGUGUUAAGUUUAGUGUACUGUAAUCAGGGAUUAGUAUUACAGUGUUAAGUUUAGUGUACUGUAAUCAGGGAUUAGUAUUACAGUGUUAAGUUUAGUGUACUGUAAUCAGGGAUUAGUAUUACAGUGUUAAGUUUAGUGUACUGUAAUCAGGGAUUUGUAUUAUAGUGUUAAGUUUAGAGUUACUGUAAUCAGGGAUUAGUAUUACAGUGUUAAGUUUAGUGUACUGUAAUCAGGGAUUAGUAUUACAGUGUUAAGUUUAGUGUACUGUAAUCAGGGAUUAGUAUUACAGUGUUAAGUUUAGUGUACUGUAAUCAGGGAUUAGUAUUACAGUGUUAAGUUUAGUGUACUGUAAUCAGGGAUUAGUAUUACAGUGUUAAGUUUAGUGUACUGUAAUCAGGGAUUAGUAUUAUAGUGUUAAGUUUAGAGUUACUGUAAUCAGGGAUUAGUAUUACAGUGUUAAGUUUAGUGUACUGUAAUCAGGGAUUAGUAUUAUAGUGUUGUUUUAGUUUUACAGUAACACCUUAGUUUUAGUGUUCUAGUGUUGAGUUGAGUUUUACAGUGUUGGCUUUUGUGUUACUAUAACAUUAUCGGGUGUAGUGUCCCUGGUUCUGGAAAUAACAGGGCUGAUUUGUCAGUCCAAACUUCUGGAAGCGAUGUAUAUAGACAUUUUGUUGAUAUUGUGUGUGUCACUGUUAUAAAAAAAUAAUGUGUGUGGUUUAGAAAAAAGGUUGGAAUCAAACAUUGACUUCAAAAUGCUUUCAUCUUGUUUCUUUACUUGGUUUGUUUUAGUCCUUUUUGAAUAAAUAUUGCUUAAGAAAUA
rnacentral:lncRNA from 1 species